rnacentral:rRNA from 1 species
AUUGAACGCUGGCGGCAGGCCUAACACAUGCAAGUCGAGCGGAUGAAGGGAGCUUGCUCCUGGAUUCAGCGGCGGACGGGUGAGUAAUGCCUAGGAAUCUGCCUGGUAGUGGGGGAUAACGUCCGGAAACGGGCGCUAAUACCGCAUACGUCCUGAGGGAGAAAGUGGGGGAUCUUCGGACCUCACGCUAUCAGAUGAGCCUAGGUCGGAUUAGCUAGUUGGUGGGGUAAAGGCCUACCAAGGCGACGAUCCGUAACUGGUCUGAGAGGAUGAUCAGUCAGACCUGAAACUGGACACGGGUCCAGCUCCCUAGGGGAGCCAGAGGUGGGGAUUUUUGACCAAGGGGCGAAGGCUGGUCCAGCCAUGCCGCGUGUGUGAAGAAGGUCUUCGGAUUGUAAAGCACUUUAAGUUGGGAGGAAGGGCAGUAAGUUAAUACCUUGCUGUUUUGACGUUACCAACAGAAUAAGCACCGGCUAACUUCGUG